AGGCUCUAUGAUGAUGUUGUUUGC
rnacentral:siRNA from 1 species